rnacentral:lncRNA from 1 species
GUUUUAAGUGAAUACUAAUAUAGGUUUAUCAGAAAGAGUAACUAAGAAACAAAUGGGAAGAACUGAAAUGUUGUCGAUGGACAUAAAUUACACGUGAUUAUCAAUUGCAUCAUUUUCUGUGUAGAAAUUGCAUGUAUUUAUUAGUAGUGAAAAUAAAUGGCUGUUAAAUAUCCCAGUUCAUUAUCAAAUUUUCAAAAGAUACCGGGAAUCGUGAUUUUGUUCUUAACAACUCGUAAUCUCACAGACUAACCCUUCCCUUCUAAAUGCAGAUCUUCAGGUGCAAGGUAAAUAAUAUUUUACAAAACUUAUUGAAAAUGAGCUUUUUACUUUGUUAGCCUGACACAAAAAUUUAUUCUAAAUGUUGUAUAUAUAAAACAGGAGAUGUGGUAUUAUUGCCAAUGAGACAACUCUCCACUAAGACAAAAUGACACUGAAAUUGACAACUUUGUGUCACCGUACGCUUUCAACAUUGAGCAAAUCAUAUACCGCAUAGUCAGCUAUAAAAGAUCCCGAAAUAACAAAUGUAAAACAAUUCAAAAGAGAAAAUUUAACUAACGGCUCAAUGUAUGUACAAAAUAAUGAACGAAAAAAAAUGUAACACAGCAACAAACAACAGCAACUGAAUUGGCUUGGGACAGUCACAUACCAAAUGAGGCGGGAUUGAGCUAGUUUUUCGGCGCCAAACACUCCCCCAACCUUGUACUGUGAUGUAAAGAUAAAACAUAAGAAAAUUCUAUGCAAAACAAUAAGCGAAAAACAAAUAUGAGAAACAGCAGCAAAGGCCACAACUCUAUUAUAUGCCCCUGACUUGGGACAUGCACUUACAGAAUGGGGUGGGGUUAAACUAUUUUGAAGGCGCUCAUAUCAACCCCUAACAUGGGACUGUGGUGUAACAGUAAAACAUACGAACAAAUUAUGGAAAUCAGUUGAAAAAGGUUUAACGCAUCACAUGGAUACAAAUAUAAACUAAUCUAAUAAAACACAGAGUGGGC